AUUCUGGCUCAGAUGACGCUGCGGCGUGCUUAACACAUAGCAAGUCGAACGGCGAAGGGGACUUCGGUCCUGAGUAAAGUGGCGGCACGGGUGAGUAACGCGUGGAUAAUCUGCCCUUAUGAUCGGGAUAACAGUUGGAAACGGCUGCUAAUACCGGAUACGCUCAAAUGAACUUUUUGAGGAAAGAUGGCCUCUGCUUGCAUGCUAUCACGUAAGGAUGAGUCCGCGUCCCAUUAGCUUGUUGGCGGGGUAACGGCCCACCAAGGCAACGAUGGGUAGCCGAUUUGAGAGGAUGAUCGGCCACACUGGAACUGAAACACGGUCCAGACUCCUACGGGAGGCAGCAGUGGGGAAUAUUGCGCAAUGGGCGAAAGCCUGACGCAGCGACGCCGCGUGAAGGGAUGAAGGUUUUCGGAUCGUAAACCUCUGUCAGAAGGGAGGAAACUACGUUGUGCUAAUCAGCAGCGUACUGACGGUACCUUCAAAGGAAGCACCGGCUAACUCCGUGCCAGCAGCCGC
rnacentral:rRNA from 1 species